AGCCGCCAUCUUGAGAGGACCGUGGCCGCCCCCGCGGCGCAUGCGCAGCCCCGCACACAAACGCAGGCCCUAAAGUCGGCCCUAAGGGUGUCCCAAACGCUCGCUGUUUGGCCCUGAGGUCGUCCCAAACACUCCCUGUUCGGCCCUAAGGCUGUCCCAAACGCUCGCUGUUCCGGCCCUCAGGUCAUCCCAAACACUCCCUGUUCGGCCCUAAGGCCAUCCCAAACACUCCCUGUUCGGCCCUAAGGCCAUCCCAAACGCUCGCUGUUCGGUUGCCCCACACGGCAGAGCAGCACGAGUGACACUAACUCUUGGCUGAGAGAUAAAAUAUGGAAAGAAUAUGCUGAAGGUUGAACUCUUCAUACAGAUAAUGAAACAGUGACAGUGUAGAACAGGAGAGAGGGGCCCAGCCCCAGUGCAAAACUCAAAGACUCACAGGGCAAUGCAGCCUUCCCCUAGAUGACAACAAGGAGACAAUGAGCCUGAGAUUGAGGAAAAAAAGCACUGAAAUCUCUUGUGUCAUCUACUAUCACUAUGCUGCAAUUACUGGAGAGAACCUGCUUUGGAUCACAGCAAGGAGUGUAUUAUCUCUUGAGAAAUCAGGGGCAUUCAUUUAACUUCAAAUAUGUGUGAAAGAUUUGGGCACUGGAGAUACCUGUGGGUGACUGCAGUGUUCUGAGCUUCCAUUCCUGGUAAGGAAAACACGAGCCUGUGGCUGCUAUUUCAGUUAAUGGGAUUUCA